GCCUGGGUGGCUCAGUUGGUUGAGCAUCUGACUUUGACUCAGGUCAUGAUCUCAUGUUCGUGGGUUUGAGCCCCAUGUUAGGCU